rnacentral:rRNA from 1 species
ACGCUCGACACCUACGGGAGGCAGCAGUAGGGAAUCUUCCGCAAUGGACGAAAGUCUGACGGAGCAACGCCGCGUGAACGAUGAAGGUUUUCGGAUCGUAAAGUUCUGUUGUUAGGGAAGAACAAACUUCGUUUGAAUAAGGCGGAGUCAUGACGGUACCUAACGAGAAAGCCACGGCUAACUACGUACCAGCAGCCGCGGUAAUCUGAGCGGGCUGGCAAGGC